rnacentral:rRNA from 1 species
UACGUAGGAGGCGAGCGUUGUCCGGAGUUACUGGGCGUAAAGGGUGCGCAGGCGGCCGUGCACGUGGAUGGUGAAAUCUCCCGGCUCAACUGGGAGGGGGCUGUCCAUACGGUGCGGCUUGAGGCUCGGAGGGGGGCGUGGAAUUCCGGGUGGAGCGGUGAAAUGCGUAGAUAUGCGGAGGAACACCGAUGGCGAAGGCAGCCUCCUGGGAUAACACUGACGCUCAUGCACGAAAGCGUGGGGAGCAAACAGG